rnacentral:rRNA from 1 species
CUUAUGCGUUGUUGGGUAGGGGAGCGUUCUGUAAGCCUGCGAAGGUGGCCUGUGAGGGUUGCUGGAGGUAUCAGAAGUGCGAAUGCUGACAUAAGUAACGAUAAAGCGGGUGAAAAGCCCGCUCGCCGGAAGACCAAGGGUUCCUGUCCAACGUUAAUCGGGGCAGGGUGAGUCGACCCCUAAGGCGAGGCCGAAAGGCGUAGUCGAUGGGAAACGGGUUAAUAUUCCCGUACUUGGUGUUACUGCGAAGGGGGGACGGAGAAGGCUAUGUUGGCCGGGCGACGGUUGUCCCGGUUUAAGCGUGUAGGCUGGUUUUCCAGGCAAAUCCGGAAAAUCAAGGCUGAGGCGUGAUGACGAGGCACUACGGUGCUGAAGCAACAAAUGCCCUGCUUCCAGGAAAAGCCUCUAAGCAUCAGGUAACAUCAAAUCGUACCCCAAACCGACACAGGUGGUCAGGUAGAGAAUACCAAGGCGCUUGAGAGAACUCGGGUGAAGGAACUAGGCAAAAUGGUGCCGUAACUUCGGGAGAAGGCACGCUGACACGUAGGUGAAGUGAUUUACUCAUGGAGCUGAAGUCAGUCGAAGAUACCAGCUGGCUGCAACUGUUUAUUAAAAACACAGCACUGUGCAAACACGAAAGUGGACGUAUACGGUGUGACGCCUGCCCGGUGCCGGAAGGUUAAUUGAUGGGGUCAGCGCAAGCGAAGCUCCUGAUCGAAGCCCCGGUAAACGGCGGCCGUAACUAUAACGGUCCUAAGGUAGCGAAAUUCCUUGUCGGGUAAGUUCCGACCUGCACGAAUGGCGUAAUGAUGGCCAGGCUGUCUCCACCCGAGACUCAGUGAAAUUGAACUCGCUGUGAAGAUGCAGUGUACCCGCGGCAAGACGGAAAGACCCCGUGAACCUUUACUAUAGCUUGACACUGAACAUUGAGCCUUGAUGUGUAGGAUAGGUGGGAGGCUUUGAAGUGUGGACGCCAGUCUGCAUGGAGCCGACCUUGAAAUACCACCCUUUAAUGUUUGAUGUUCUAACGUGGACCCGUUACCCGGGUUGCGGACAGUGUCUGGUGGGUAGUUUGACUGGGGCGGUCUCCUCCUAAAGAGUAACGGAGGAGCACGAAGGUUGGCUAAUCCUGGUCGGACAUCAGGAGGUUAGUGCAAUGGCAUAAGCCAGCUUGACUGCGAGCGUGACGGCGCGAGCAGGUGCGAAAGCAGGUCAUAGUGAUCCGGUGGUUCUGAAUGGAAGGGCCAUCGCUCAACGGAUAAAAGGUACUCCGGGGAUAACAGGCUGAUACCGCCCAAGAGUUCAUAUCGACGGCGGUGUUUGGCACCUCGAUGUCGGCUCAUCACAUCCUGGGGCUGAAGUAGGUCCCAAGGGUAUGGCUGUUCGCCAUUUAAAGUGGUACGCGAGCUGGGUUUAGAACGUCGUGAGACAGUUCGGUCCCUAUCUGCCGUGGGCGCUGGAGAACUGAGGGGGGCUGCUCCUAGUACGAGAGGACCGGAGUGGACGCAUCACUGGUGUUCGGGUUGUCAUGCCAAUGGCACUGCCCGGUAGCUAAAUGCGGAAGAGAUAAGUGCUGAAAGCAUCUAAGCACGAAACUUGCCCCGAGAUGAGUUCUCCCUGAGACUUAGAGUCUCCUGAAGGAACGUUGAAGACGACGACGUUGAUAG